rnacentral:rRNA from 1 species
CUUGACAAACCAAUAAGAGGUCCAGCCUGCCCAGUGACUCUGUUCAACGGCCGCGGUAUCCUAACCGUGCGAAGGUAGCGUAAUCACUUGUUCUUUAAAUGAGGACUAGUAUGAAUGGCAUCACGAGGGUUAAACUGUCUCCUCCCUCUAAUCAAUGAAACUAAUCUCCCCGUGAAGAAACGGGGAUAAAUAUAUAAGACGAGAAGACCCUAUGGAGCUUUAAACACACAACAAUUGCCCCACCCCCCCACUAAAAAUCUCCGGAAAACCACUUACCUGGGCGCUUUGAUUGCAAGUUUUAGGUUGGGGUGACCGCGGAGCAAAAAACAACCUCCACAGCGAAUGGAACUUUUUCCUAAACCAAGAGCUACGGCCCUAAGAAUCAAUAAAUUGACACCCAUUGACCCAAUAUUUUUGACCAACGAAC